rnacentral:rRNA from 1 species
UACGGGGGGAGCAAGCGUUGUUCGGAUUUACUGGGCGUAAAGGGCGCGUAGGCGGCCACCGCAAGUCAAUUGUGAAAUCUCCGGGCUUAACCCGGAAAGGUCAGCCGAUACUGCGGGGCUAGAGUGCAGAAGGGGCAACUGGAAUUCUCGGUGUAGCGGUGAAAUGCGUAGAUAUCGAGAGGAACACCUGCGGCGAAGGCGGGUUGCUGGGCUGACACUGACGCUGAGGCGCGAAAGCUAGGGGAGCGAACGGG